GGAAUUUGGGCCGUUGCUUCUCCCUGGAUACCAGGACCUGCAUGUCUUCAAACGUCGGGUGGUUCCCUGCCUCCGCCUGAAAGGCCAUCUGGUACUCUGGCACAGACUCUCCUAGAGGGAAAAGGUCGGUACAUCUCAUGAAGGUCUCCCAGUAGAUCAGGCCCAGGGCGUACAUAUCCACCUGCUUCAGCGCCGACUCACAGUCCCUCAGGUUCACCGCCCCCUCCAGCACCUCUGGAGCCAUGUAGCGGAUAGUCCCCACCUGACAGAUGGAGCAGGAACAACAGGAGGCGUGGGCGACCAGACAAGGGACGCAAAGCGCUCCAAGCCAAACAGACGCACGUGGAGCUGCAGUGUGCAGGACGCAAGAAGGAUCAAGCGCUGCACAGUUAGACAGGAUAGAGGUAGAAAUACACACAUAUACACACACAGAAUAUCUAAACUAGCCUGGCAACAAAGACAAUAAGCUUUCCCAUUUCCCACCACAAUUCUUUGUUUGUGUUUCAGUAACAGAUGGAAGCAGCAGCCUUGGAACUUGAGCCUCAGUAAACUGUGAGCAGUUAUGUAAUUAACUCUGUGUGUGUGUGCG